AACAAACGCUGGCGGCGUGCCUAAUACAUGCAAGUCGAACGGGGUAGCAAUACCUAGUGGCGCACGGGUGAGUAACGCGUGGAUAAUCUGCCUUAGAGUGGGGGAUAACUAGUCGAAAGAUUAGCUAAUACCGCAUAAGACCACAAGAGCUGCGGCUCAAGGGGUCAAAGGUUUUUCGCUCUAAGAUGAGUCCGCGUAAGAUUAGCUAGUUGGUGAGGUAAUGGCUCACCAAGGCGACGAUCUUUAACUGGUCUGAGAGGAUGAUCAGUCACACUGGAACUGAGACACGGUCCAGACUCCUACGGGAGGCAGCAGUAGGGAAUAUUGCACAAUGGAGGAAACUCUGAUGCAGCGACGCCGCGUGAGUGAUGAAGGCCUUCGGGUCGUAAAGCUCUGUCGCAGGGGAAUAACACAAUGAAUGUACCCUGUAAGAAAGGAUCGGCUAACUUCAUG
rnacentral:rRNA from 1 species